AACAAGUCAACCUGCUUCUAAAUACUGAUGUCCAAUUGUUGAUUCCAAAUUCUUACGUCUCUCAUCCACAUCUUGAUUCAGCUAUCUAAUCAUCUUGCCAAGGGUACUACAACAAGAGCCAUGUUGUAAAAUCAUUACAAAAGUAUCCGGAAUCGUUCAGUGUAUGGGAUGGUACUGGGUAAUACCUCGUUUUGGUGGCAACUUCCUCAAGAUGAAAAGGACUAGAGAUGAAGGUAAAUAUAUAAAGUAUUGAUGAAAA